UUAGGUGGUUAUAACGUUGGGGUUCCACCUCUUCCCAUUCCGAACAGAGAAGUUAAGCCCAAUUGUGCCGAUGGUACUGCGAAAGUGGGAGAGUAGGUAGCCGCCAUUU
rnacentral:rRNA from 1 species